CACGUAUUUAGCCGUCACUUCUUCUGUUGGUACCGUCAUUUUUUUCUUCCCAACUGAAAGCACUUUACAUUCCGAAAAACUUCAUCGUGCACACAGAAUUGCUGGAUCAGACUUUCGGUCCAUUGUCCAAUAUUCCCCACUGCUGCCUCCCGUAGGAGUAAGGGCCGUGUCUCAGUCCCCUUGUGGCCGUUCACCCUCUCAGGCCGGCUACCCAUCAUCGCCUUGGUGAGCUGUUACCUCUCCAACUAGCUAAUGGGACGCAAAGCUCUCUCACAGUGCAUAUAGCUUUCAUAAUUAUAGGAUGCCCUAUAACCAUAAUAUCAGGUAUUAGCAUUCAUUUCUAAAUGUUGUCCCUAGCUGUGAGGCUAAGUUCUUUACGCGUUACUCCACCCGUCCGCCACCCAAAUCUAAACGUUAAAAACCCAAUUACAAGUUGACUUGCAUGUGUUAAGCAUUCUGUCAGUCGUUCAUCCUGAGCCAGGUAUAC
rnacentral:rRNA from 1 species